rnacentral:rRNA from 1 species
GCUAAUACCGCAUAACGUCGCAAGACCAAAGAGGGGGACCUUCGGGCCUCUUGCCAUCGGAUGUGCCCAGAUGGGAUUAGCUAGUAGGUGGGGUAACGGCUCACCUAGGCGACGAUCCCUAGCUGGUCUGAGAGGAUGACCAGCCACACUGGAACUGAGACACGGUCCAGACUCCUACGGGAGGCAGCAGUGGGGAAUAUUGCACAAUGGGCGCAAGCCUGAUGCAGCCAUGCCGCGUGUAUGAAGAAGGCCUUCGGGUUGUAAAGUACUUUCAGCGAGGAGGAAGGCGUUGUGGUUAAUAACCGCAGCGAUUGACGUUACUCGCAGAAGAAGCACCGGCUAACUCCGUGCCAGCAGCCGCGGUAAUACGGAGGGUGCAAGCGUUAAUCGGAAUUACUGGGCGUAAAGCGCACGCAGGCGGUCUGUCAAGUCGGAUGUGAAAUCCCCGGGCUCAACCUGGGAACUGCAUCCGAAACUGGCAGGCUAGAGUCUUGUA